GUUCGCGACCGCUUCAAUCGACCCCCUCAUGCAACCGAGAGGUUGUGCAUCCUACGGUCCCUGGAUGUCACCUACUACUAAUAUGUGAUAACUAGCAUUUUGAUGCAUUAUUUUCCCCUAUAUUUUAAUGUUUUAAUCCACUCAUAUGGUUAAUUGUUGAUUCUUAUCAUGUUUAUUAAGUUUGAUGCAUAUUAUGAGUUUUUAUAUAAUUCUUGUUAAUUUUAUGGAUUUCUACUUAUAAUUGUACAUUUUUUUUUGUAGGGAUUGAACUCAAGUUGGACCAAAUUAAACCUAAAGACUUGAGUCAAGGAGAAGUAUAAUAUGUAGAAAUAUGAGCCAUUGGAUCAAAUAUGAAGUAAAGUAAUCAAAGGACUCCGAUCUAAUUAAUUCUAGUUGUUCAUCGAGAUCUGGUUGAUUUUGGUCGAUCUGUAUAGAUUUGGAAUUUUCCGAGGCGUUCACUAUGAUCUAGCCAUCUUGAUCAUUCAACUAGUUCUAGCCGAUCCUGACCGUUCAAUCAGAUUUGAUCUCAUCCAUUCACCUAGAUUUGGGCCAAUCCUGACCGUCCGAUCAUAUUUGGGAAAAUAAGAGUGGAUGAAGCACAGUUUGUUCAUAUAUUCUCUGCUUCCUCACGCGAUCGUUGCCGGGACGCCGCCCCUUCUCAUCGAACUCCACCUUCAAUCGGCCGACGAGUUCAUCUACCACUCCACCUCCGGCCGAUCGAUCCUCUCCAUCUCGCCCAUCUGCAUCCCGUCACCCUCCUCCAUCCCGGCCUCAUCUUCUUACCGACGCGAACGCUGCCCAAUGCUAACUCCACCACCACCGGCACACCAAGGAAAGGGGUUUUCUCCCUCUGGUCAUCCCCAUCGCGCAUCUCCUUCCUCUUCUCAUCUUCCUUCCACGAUAAGCCUUCAAGCUUCUAACAGCAGCUCCACCACAUCUCUUCCAUAUCCGCUCUACGAUCUAUGAGUUCUUGGGCUUUUUCAGCUUCGUAUUCGAUCCGGACAGCUAUCUUCUUCAUCCAUCUUCGAUCCAGCAGCCUUCUCUUCUUCGCCAAGUCUGCAGCAAUUCCCUUCACCACCAGACAGCUUCAUAUACACCUCACAGAAAUUGGGUUGUUUCUUUUAUCAUGGAUGUGUGUUGAUGUUUUUUAUUGAAUUCUUGUAUCAAACUUGAUCUUCUUUAAUUAAAUUGAACGCACUUGAUUUUAAUUGUUUCAUGCACACAACUUGUUUGAUGAAAUGUUCUAAUCUUCUAAUUCCUGCAUGUAACGUGUUCGCUAAAAUGUCUCUUUCAAUAGUUUGGUUCAAUUUGACGCAUCUUAGUUUGCUUAACUCUUGCUUUGUAUUGAUCUUUCAAUUGUUAAGUUUGAUGUCUUCAUUUAAAUACAAUUAGGUUAAGUUAGUGUCUUCAUUUAAAUGCAGUUAGUUUUAUGUCUUCAUUUCUAUGUUUAGUGUGUAUUGUAUUUUAAGUUGUUACAUAUUGUUUCCUUAUAGCCAUAAUAUUCUAACUAAUUUGUAGAUGAGAAUGAGGUUAUCUGGAGACAAUCAAGUUAUCCAAGAAUGAUCCGUAAUUAUUUAAUGAGGUCAUUCUACUUUUCCAUAUUCUAUUGUGACUUAUAUUUCACUCGUUAGUAUCAUGCAGGAUACCAAGAGCAAAUGUUGCAUUAGCCACAACAACCAAGAGCAAAUGUUGCAUUCUAAAUCAUCUUUUAAUCUUUUGAUUGUCUCAACAAAAUUGGUUGGUUCGUUAAUUUGUACCAGCGAAGCAAUUUCUCUCAUGGAGUUCGAAGACAGGGAGGGUCGUGAUAGACAAUGUAAUAUAAAAAUUAGAUUACUUAUAGUAAGAUUUAAAAAUUUGUAUAGUUGUUUAUAGUUUGAUUAUUGGUCAAAUUUAUUUGGAUAAUGUAAAUAUUUAUUUAUUUUAA